CCAAAUAGUGAACUCCAUAAGAUACCUGCUCUUUCUCCGGAACAUAUAAAUCCUCAAACAACUUCUUCAUCGCACUAACCCAGCCCUCGGCGACCCACUCCUCUGAACAUCGGCCAUCAAAGGUCGGCGAAUCGAAACGGCGAAAACGAGCGAGCCUCUCUGUCAUCCGCUCCUGCUCAGCCUCGGUCAUCUGGACCGGUCCUCUAAGAGGUGCAACUGGCGCUACUGGAACUGCCGCUGGUGGGGGUACAGCUGCGGCUGGUGCUGCGGCUGGAGUCGUGGGAGGUGGAACCGUCUGCUCUGGUACUCCCGGUACUGUACUCUGUGGUGGGGCUAUCCUCUCACACAACCUCUCCAACAACUCCCCCUGCCGCCUCGCCACCUCUGUCAGGGCUGCUAACUGUGCAGUCAAGUCCGGGGAUGCACUCG
rnacentral:lncRNA from 1 species